rnacentral:rRNA from 1 species
GGCGUAGGGAAACCGAGUCUUAAUAGGGCGUUUCAGUCGCUGGUAGUAGACCCGAAAACCGGGCGAUCUAGCCAUGGACAGGGUGAAGGUUCGGUAACACGGACUGGAGGCCCGAACCGGGAUCUGUUGAAAAAAGAUUCGGAUGAUCUGUGGCUAGGAGUGAAAGGCUAAUCAAGCCCGGAGAUAGCUGGUUCUCCGCGAAAGCUAUUUAGGUAGCGCGUCAGGUGAUUACCCACGGGGGUAGAGCACUGUUUCGGCUAGGGGGUCAUCCCGACUUACCAAACCGAUGCAAACUCCGAAUACCGUGGAGUACAGCCUGGCAGACACACGGCGGGUGCUAACGUCCGUCGUGAAAAGGGAAACAACCCAGACCGCCAGCUAAGGUCCCCAAUACUGGUUAAGUGGGAAACGAUGUAAGGAAGGC